rnacentral:lncRNA from 1 species
GCAGGUGAGAUGUUGAAUUCCACAGGUGUGCUUUAUCUAAGCCCUACUGUUCUCCAGGUGUGUCUUGAACACAUGUUUCUUUGAUAUGAAUUAAGGAGGGGUGACAUGAGGAUAGGUGAGUAGGGGAACAUGGGCUCCAUGGCUGAAAUAUUUAGAUUGCUACAUUAUCCUUAAAUUACCCCAUUAGAGGUCCCUGCAUGCCAUUAAGUUGUUAAAGUUCUGUCCCACUGCUAAACCUUGACCAAGAGCGUGUGGUAAGUAGAAUCACCAUUUCAUCUUUCCUUAUAACCCCAAUCUAUCUCUUGUCGGAGUGGGUAUAUCUUUUCCAUUGUGUAAACCUGAACUGAGUCAUUUUGUUUCCAUUGAGUCUCCAGCUGAGUUAAUGUGACCCUUACCUGGGGAGUCGGCACGAGACCUAGUUUGACUUGCCCUACAAUGGCCAACUCAACUGAAGAAAAGCAGAAAAAACAGUUCCCACAGUCUUUGCGGUGAGUGACGCUACAACCCUGACCAAGCCAUCACCACCUCCCCUGCUGGAGCCAAAACAGACUCCUAUUGAUGAAGGAAAAUGGAAACCCCUCAUCAUGAAGCACUGGAGCUCUUGAGUUUGAGAUGAACGCACUGGAGGAAACCCUGAGGGAAUGAUUAAUUAAAUGAACCCUACAUGCCUCAAUUCAAGCCCUGCGAGAAGACAGAACUUGAGUGCAUAUUUUCUGAAUGAUCAAGGCUUGAUCGACCGACAUCAGCAUGAUGACAGACGUUUAAAGAUGAGAUCAGUGGACCUACAGGCACCACAGUCUCCUUCCCAGCAUUCCCUUUACCCAUAUCUCUCCCUACAAUGUGCAAACACCAAGCACUCCCUUUCUAUGUGACCCCACGAUGCAAAGCUCUUCAUGCACUGAAAUGAUUUCAUGGCCAAAGCAUUAAUGAGAUGAUAUCACUUCACCCCCCCACCAAAACUCUGUUCAGUAACACCACAGUUUUCCGCUGACAUCACUGUGCACAAUUCAUGUCAGACGAGGCCCCUGAGCACCCAGAUGCACUCAGGUCCUGUAAAUAGAAGAGUGUUGAGCUAAUUUGAAGUGUAUGCUGAAGAGGCAACAGAUGUAUCGCUCAUAACACAACGUUUCUGCCGAAAACAAGGUCACACCUGUGGCAGGAUACAUCUCAGAUAGCAGAGGAACGCUGAGAGAUUGACACAGGGAAAGAGUUCAGUGAGUUUCUAUGAAACUGUUGCCAAAAAAUAAGGAUAAUUGUAAUUCUUUGCCUUUAGCUAACGAGUCAUAAUCACAAGUGUUUUUAAAACGGCAUUCAAAAUCUGUUUCUUUUGUAAUGUGCCAUAUUUUGGUGUAGGAUGGUGCUUCUUCAUAUUUAUUGAUAACUGAUUGAAUUAUAAAAAGUGGGUGGUACAUACCAGAAGAAAGACCUAAUUAUGUAGGUUUUAAUACUUAAAGUUUAUUUUUACAUUGUUAAAAUAGUCAAUGUGACAUCAGUGGUUCAACCUAAAUUUUAUGAAGCUAUGAGAAUACUUUUUAUGCGCAAAGAACAAACAUAAACAAAAAUAAAGAUUAUAU